GAUGAACGCUGGCGGCGUGCCUAACACAUGCAAGUCGAACGGAGUCGUUUUGGAAAUCUCUUCGGAGAUGGAAUUCUCGACUUAGUGGCGGACGGGUGAGUAACGCGUGAGCAAUCUGCCUUUAAGAGGGGGAUAACAGUCGGAAACGGCUGCUAAUACCGCAUAAAGCAUUAAAUUCGCAUGUUUUUGAUGCCAAAGGAGCAAUCCGCUUUUAGAUGAGCUCGCGUCUGAUUAGCUAGUUGGCGGGGUAACGGCCCACCAAGGCGACGAUCAGUAGCCGGACUGAGCGGUUGAACGGCCACAUUGGGACUGAGACACGGCCCAGACUCCUACGGGAGGCAGCAGUGGGGAAUAUUGCGCAAUGGGGGAAACCCUGACGCAGCAACGCCGCGUGAUGGAAGAAGGCCUUCGGGUUGUAAAGAUCUUUAAUCAGGGACGAAACAAAUGACGGUACCUGAAGAAUAAGCUCCGGCUAACUACGUG
rnacentral:rRNA from 1 species